rnacentral:rRNA from 1 species
GAUGAACGCUGGCGGCGUGCCUAAUACAUGCAAGUCGAGCGAACAGACGCUGCGUUUGCUCCUCUGACGUUAGCGGCGGACGGGUGAGUAACACGUGUAUCCCCUACCUAUCAGACUGGUAUCACUUCGGGACACCGGCGCUAAUCCCAUAUAAUAUCUUGCACCGCAUUGUUCAAUGGUUAGAUACGGUUUUUCUGUCUCUUCUCGAUUGUUCCCCGCCGCAUUAGCUAGUUGGUAAGGUAAUGGCCUACCAAGGCAACGCUGCGUAGCCGAACUGAGUGAGGGGUAGGCGACAUGGGAGCUGGGACACGGACAAGACGCCUAAGGGAGGCAGCAGAAGGGAAUGGGACGCAAUGGGCGAAAGUAUGACGGAGCAACGCGGCGUGAGUGAUGAAGGUCUUCGGAUCGUAAAACUGUGUUAUUAGGGAAGAACAAAUGUGUAAGGAACUAUGCACGUCGUGACGGUAACUAAUAAGAAAGCCACGGCUAACUACGUG